rnacentral:rRNA from 1 species
UACGUAGGGAGCGAGCGUUGUCCGGAUUUAUUGGGCGUAAAGAGCUCGUAGGCGGCUUGGUAAGUCGGAUGUGAAAUCUCCAUGCUUAACGUGGAGCGGCCAUCUGAUACUGCUAUGGCUUGAGUCCGCUAGGGGCCCACGGAAUUCCUGGUGUAGCGGUGAAAUGCGCAGAUAUCAGGAGGAACACCUGUGGCGAAAGCGGCUCACUGGACCAUAACUGACGCUGAUGCACGAAAGCUGGGGGAGCAAACAGG